rnacentral:rRNA from 1 species
GACAGAGGGUGCAAACGUUGUUCGGAAUUACUGGGCGUAAAGCGCGUGUAGGCGGCUUCGCAAGUCGGAUGUGAAAUCCCACGGCUCAACCGUGGAAGUGCAUUCGAAACUGCAAGGCUAGAGUCCUGGAGAGGAAGGUGGAAUGCUUGGUGUAGAGGUGAAAUUCGUAGAUAUCAAGCGGAACACCGGUGGCGAAGGCGACCUUCUGGACAGUGACUGACGCUGAGACGCGAAAGCGUGGGGAGCAAACAGG